rnacentral:rRNA from 1 species
UACGUAGGUGGCGAGCGUUAUCCGGAUUUAUUGGGUUUAAAGGGUGCGUAGGCGGCUGAUUAAGUCAGCGGUGAAAGGUAGCAGCUUAACUGUUUUACAUGCCGUUGAUACUGGUUAGCUUGAGUUAACAGAAGGCAGAUAGAAUUUCUGGUGUAGCGGUGAAAUGCUUAGAUACCAGGAGGAAUACCGAUUGCGAAGGCAGUCUGCUGCAGUUACACUGACGCUGAGGCACGAAAGUGCGGGGAUCAAACAGGAUUAGAUACCCUGGUAGUCCGCACAGUAAACGAUGAUUACUAGUUGUUGGCGCAAGUCAGUGACCAAGGGAAACCGAUAAGUAAUCCACCUGGGGAGUACGCCGGCAACGGUGAA